UCGCCAUCCUAACUCCAGCUAAUGGCACUUUCAUCGAAAGAAGCAUUGUUGGAGCUGACAAUGCUAUAACCAACUUGGGAGCUAUCACCAAUGGAACAUCGGAACCCCUGCUGGUACUGACUGAGAAUCGACCCGACUUCUUCUCGGUGGUUGGGAUGAUCUAGCGUCAGUCACUACCCUCUUCUUAGUAGCAUGCAAACAGAUGUCGGUAGCUAAAACUCGUGCUCUCAUCCACA
rnacentral:lncRNA from 1 species